UGGCGGACGGGGGAGUAAUGUCUGGGAAACUGCCCGAUGGAGGGGGGUAACUACUGGAAACGGUAGCUAAUACCGCAUAACGUCGCAAGACCAAAGAGGGGGACCUUCGGGCCUCUUGCCAUCGGAUGUGCCCAGAUGGGAUUAGCUAGUAGGUGGGGUAACGGCUCACCUAGGCGACGAUCCCUAGCUGGUCUGAGAGGAUGACCGGCCACACUGGAACUGAGACACGGUCCAG
rnacentral:rRNA from 1 species